GGAGAAGUGGCCGAGUUAGGUUGAAGGCACUUCCCUGCUAAGGAAGAUAUCCUUUAUAGGAUACGAGUGUUCAAAUCACUCCUUCUCCG
rnacentral:tRNA from 1 species